CAGUUGAGCUCGGUUUACUAAUUGUUGCUCUGCGGAUUAUACAUUAAUGUCCCUUCGAACUUUGCACGUGAUUGCUGUGUGAAAAUUUAACUCACGCUUUCCAUAACAUUAUAAAGACAGAACAAGGAAGGACAAAGGACAGUUUAAUAAGCUAUCACUGGACAGAAGGAAUGUGGUGGCUUUUAUAAGAAACAAGAGGAGGAGGGGGAGAAAACAUUCAGGUGAAGAUCAGUUUUUUUAUGAACCACAUCAAAGUAAGUUUGAAAUCCCCUGCGUUCAUCUCCACAUAGAUUUCGCAGGGUAAAACGAAGAAAUGACUCCAAGUCAUUGCUCCCAGUGGCAACAAAAAAGACGAGGGAUUACAAGUUUUGAAAACUAAAACAAUCCAGACGCUGGGCGUUAAGAAAUAAUUGAGAGAAAUGAACUUCCGUUUCAAUAAUCCCAUCUGAUGACGCUCUGUAAAAGUGCCAAACCCCUUUCAUCCUGAGCCCAGAUAACUGAAUGUCCAGGUGAUCUUACUGCUGCUUCCAUCUUCCAGACUCAUUCUCCAUCCAUGUGAAGUAUGCCAUACGAUGGGCUGGUUAGUUUACUGGCUGUCACAAAGACUCGAAAGGGCAGUGUAAUCGAUGGUUUCUCCAGCCUUCACAAGUCUGCAGUGGCGUGGUACUCCAAACCAUCACACAGUUUCAAGUAGAGCAAGACACAACCACAUGCAGCAGAGUUGCAAAUUAAUAAAGUCUGCCAACAGGUCUGGAGUAUGCUAGGUACACUCACAUAAAUUAAAUGGACUCACUUGCUUUAAAAACAAUGAUGUGCAGAAUGUAUUUGGUUGGAUCAGUAUCGUGUAAAAUUUGAAAAUAACAAAAUAAGAUUCCUCAGUGUGAAGAUAAUUUCUGCUUAUAGCUGAUUUAAUAAAAAAUAUAUCACUUACUUUGUU